UUCCGGUUGAUCCUGCCGGAGGCCAUUGCUAUCGGGGUCCGAUUUAGCCAUGCUAGUCGCACGGGUUCAGACCCGUGGCAAACAGCUCAGUAACACGUGGCCAAACUACCCUAUGGACGUGGACACCCUCGGGAAACUGAGGCUAAUCCACGAUACGGCUCCCACGCUGGAAUGCGGGGAGCCGGAAACGCUCCGGCGCCCUAGGAUGUGGCUGCGGUCGAUUAGGUAGACGGUGGGGUAACGGCCCACCGUGCCCAUAAUCGGUACGGGAUGUGAGAGCAAAUAGCCCGGAGAUGGUAUCUGAGACAAGAUACCAGGCCCUACGGGGCGCAGCAGGCGCGAAACCUUUACACUGCACGCCAGUGCGAUAAGGGGACCCCGAGUGCGAGGGCAUACAGUCCUCGCUUUUGUACACCGUAAGGAGGUGUACGAAUAAGGGCUGGGCGAGACCGGUGCCAGCCGCCGCGGUAAUACCGGCAGCCCGAGUGAUGGCCGCUGUUAUUGGGCCUAAAGCGUCCGUAGCCGGCCGAACAAGUCUGUCGGGAAAUCCAUCCGCCUAACGGAUGGGCGUCCGGCAGAAACUGUUCGGCUUGGGGCCGGAAGAUCCGAGGGGUACGUCUGGGGUAGGAGUGAAAUCCUGUAAUCCUGGACGGACCGCCGGUGGCGAAAGCGCCUCGGAAGGACGGACCCGACGGUGAGGGACGAAAGCUGGGGUCUCGAACCGGAUUAGAUACCCGGGUAGUCCCAGCCGUAAACGAUGAUCGCUAGGUGUGGCACAGGCUACGAGCCUGUGCUGUGCCGUAGGGAAGCCGUGAAGCGAUCCGCCUGGGAAGUACGUCCGCAGGGAUGAAACUUAAAGGAAUUGGCGGGGGAGCACUACAACCGGAGGAGCCUGCGGUUCAAUUGGAUUCAACGCCGGA
rnacentral:rRNA from 1 species